GAUGAACGCUGGCGGCGCGCCUAACACAUGCAAGUCGAACGGUUAAAGCAUCUUCGGAUGUGCAUAAAGUGGCGAACGGCUGAGUAACACGUGGGCAACCUGCCCCUCGCAUCGGGACAGCCUCGGGAAACCGUGGUUAAUACCGGAUACUCCGCCACCCCCGCAUGGGGGAGGCGGGAAAGCCCAGACGGCGAGGGAUGGGCCCGCGGCCUGUUAGCUUGUUGGUGGGGCAGUGGCCCACCAAGGCGAUGAUGGGUAGCCGGGUUGAGAGACCGACCGGCCAGAUUGGGACUGAGACACGGCCCAGACUCCUACGGGAGGCAGCAGUGGGGAAUCUUGCACAAUGGGCGAAAGCCUGAUGCAGCGACGCCGCGUGCGGGACGAAGGCCUUCGGGUCGUAAACCGCUUUCAGCAGGGACGAGGCCGCAAGGUGACGGUACCUGCAGAAGAAGCCCCGGCUAACUACGUGCCAGCAGCCGCGGUAAUACGUAGGGGGCGAGCGUUAUCCGGAUUCAUUGGGCGUAAAGCGCGCGUAGGCGGCCUGCUAGGUCGGGAGUCAAAUCCGGGGGCUCAACCCCCGUCCGCUCCCGAUACCGGCUGGCUUGAGUCUGGUAGGGGAAGGUGGAAUUCCCAGUGUAGCGGUGGAAUGCGCAGAUAUUGGGGAAGAACACCGGGUGGCGAAGGCGGCCUUCUGGGCCACGACUGACGCUGAGGCGCGAAGCUAGGGGAGCGAACAGGG
rnacentral:rRNA from 1 species